rnacentral:rRNA from 1 species
GAUGAACGCUGGCGGCGUGCUUAACACAUGCAAGUCGAACGGAAAGGCCCAAGCUUGCUUGGGUACUCGAGUGGCGAACGGGUGAGUAACACGUGGGUGAUCUGCCCUGCACUUCGGGAUAAGCCUGGGGAAAUGGGGCUAAUACCGGAUAGGACGAUGGGUUGGAUGGCAUUGUGGAAAGUUUUUUCGGUGUGGGGUGAGCUCGCGGCCUAUCAGCUUGUUGGUGGGGUAAUGGCCUACCAAGGCGUCGACGGGUAGCCGGCCUGAGAGGGUGUACGGCCACAUUGGGACUGAGAUACGGCCCAGACUCCUACGGGAGGCAGCAGUGGGGAAUAUUGCACAAUGGGCGCAAGCCUGAUGCAGCGACGCCGCGUGGGGGAUGACGGCCUUCGGGUUGUAAACUCCUUUCGCUAGGGACGAAGCGUUUUUGUGACGGUACCUGGAGAAGAAGCACCGGCUAACUACGUG